rnacentral:rRNA from 1 species
GAUGAACGCUGGCGGCGUGCCUAAUACAUGCAAGUCGAGCGAACGGACGAGAAGCUUGCUUCUCUGAUGUUAGCGGCGGACGGGUGAGUAACACGUGGAUAACCUACCUAUAAGACUGGGAUAACUUCGGGAAACCGGAGCUAAUACCGGAUGAUAUUUUGAACCGCAUGGUUCAAAAGUGAAAGACGGUCUUGCUGUCACUUAUAGAUGGAUCCGCGCUGCAUUAGCUAGUUGGUAAGGUAACGGCUUACCAAGGCAACGAUGCAUAGCCGACCUGAGAGGGUGAUCGGCCACACUGGAACUGAGACGCGGUCCAGACUCCUACGGGAGGCAGCAGUAGGGAAUCUUCCGCAAUGGGCGAAAGCCUGACGGAGCAACGCCGCGUGAGUGAUGAAGGUCUUCGGAUCGUAAAACUCUGUUAUUAGGGAAGAACAUAUGUGUAAGUAACUGUGCACAUCGUGACGGUACCUAAUCAGAAAGCCACGGCUAACUACGUG